UAUAGAAACUAACACAGAGGGAACUAAUAGAGACUUUGAUUGAAAACCUGCUAUGACUUUGCAAGAGUGUCUGUACCUGAAGGUUUUAAAACUAAUUUCAUCUAUACAAAAGCUGCCUUCACAGCAGAACUCAAAUGUCUCUAAAUGAAGAUGAAGGCACAGCAAUGCUCUAUUGAUUUUGUCUUUAGGUUUGAUGCCCACUUUGGGAAAGCAGUCCUGCAAGCAUUGCUUAGGAGGGGAUAAAGUUACUGUUUGAUACUUCCCACCUGAGUUCCCUGUUUAUUUGGAGUCUUACAAUGGAACUUAGAGUAGGUGGAGACAAGGAAUGAGUGGGGCUCGGGAUGUCGGCUCCCUAUAUGCCAUUAUGUGUGAACACGUGGAUCCUUUAUGAAGCAUGUGUGAGGUCGCAAUGGACACUAUUUUCUAGAUGGCUCUGUAACAAGGACGAAUAUGCAUCCAACAGAUGUAGCUCAAUAUAGACCAUCACCUCCAAGAACUAGAUACUAGCCACAUACCUUGUGUCUGCAUUGCACCGUGGUGCGCUCCCAGCCAAGGUCUGAGGCAUCUGAUAUCAGCGAUACCGAAGGAUGCGGGCUGUCAAACAGGACUCCAUCGAGGACUGUUCCAGGCUAGGUCCACCACUGCAACAUGGUGAGUACCCCUGGUGCGAUGCUGACAACCUUGUCCAGGAGAUCCCUGGACGGGGCAUAGACUGUAGCCAGCCACUGCUGAAGAGGUCUCAUUCGGAGCCUCACAUAGCAGACAAUGUAUGUGCAUACUUCCAUGUAGCCCAGUAGCCAUAGUCAGACUCUUGACGUCGUGAAAGGAAAUGCAGAGACUUUGGCGAUGAGGUUUCUCGUUGUCUGAAAUCUGAUGUGCGACAAAUGCCUUCGCCCUCGUGGAGUCAAGGACCACCCGAUAAACUCUAUUCUUUGUACAGGGACCAACAUUGAUUUUUCCUUGUUUAUCAGUAGGUCCAGUCUCCUGCACAUGGUCAGCAACAUCGUGAAAGCAUCCUGGACCUGGGACCUGGAGUGACCUUGACCAGCCAGUCGUUGAUCAGGAUACCUCAAUGCCUGAGCUUGGCCAUCAAAGGGGAGGUCCUGGAUGGACUGCUGGACCUUCACCGACAAGCCUGAGGACUGUAGCCACGCCGCUCUCCUUAUAGUUAUGGCUGAAGCCAUGGUCUGUGCUGCAGAAUCAGCCGCGUCUGAGGCCGCCUGCAGUGCCGCCCUCGCCAUUCCUUUCCACUCUUCCAGGAUGUCCUGGAACUCUUUUCUGAGGUCCUUCAGCAGGGAAUCAAGAAAUUUGGCCAUUGAUUGCCAAAUAUUAAAAUCAUAGAGAUGCAAUAGGGCCCGAUGAUUCGCCACCCUCUUUAUUUUUAAGAGUAGCUCCCGGUUGUCACUGCCUUUCCCACUCAAUGACUGCAGACACCACUGAAGAGUUUGGGGCAGGGUGGGUAUGAAGAUAUUCAUACCCUGUUGCAGGCACAUAAGUACUUGCACUCCGCACACUUGGAGAUUCGGGAUAGUGAUGAGGGGGUCUGCCAGAGAGCCUUGGUAAUCUUAAUCACCCCUUCAUGCACUGGCAGCACAACUCUUGCC